rnacentral:rRNA from 1 species
UACGUAGGGCGCAAGCGUUAUCCGGAAUUAUUGGGCGUAAAGAGCUCGUAGGCGGCUUGUCACGUCGGGUGUGAAAGCCCGGGGCUUAACCCCGGGUCUGCAUUCGAUACGGGCAGGCUAGAGUGUGGUAGGGGAGAUCGGAAUUCCUGGUGUAGCGGUGAAAUGCGCAGAUAUCAGGAGGAACACCGGUGGCGAAGGCGGAUCUCUGGGCCAUUACUGACGCUGAGGAGCGAAAGCGUGGGGAGCGAACAGG